rnacentral:rRNA from 1 species
AUUGAACGCUGGCGGCAGGCCUAACACACGCAAGUCGAGCGGAUGAAGGGAGCUUGCUCCUGGAUUCAGCGGCGGACGGGUGAGUAAUGCCUAGGAAUCUGCCUGGUAGUGGGGGAUAACGUCCGGAAACGGGCGCUAAUACCGCAUACGUCCUGAGGGAGAAAGUGGGGGAUCUUCGGACCUCACGCUAUCAGAUGAGCCUAGGUCGGAUUAGCUAGUUGGUGGGGUAAAGGCCUACCAAGGCGACGAUCCGUAACUGGUCUGAGAGGAUGAUCAGUCACACUGGAACUGAGACACGGUCCAGACUCCUACGGGAGGCAGCAGUGGGGAAUAUUGGACAAUGGGCGAAAGCCUGAUCCAGCCAUGCCGCGUGUGUGAAGAAGGUCUUCGGAUUGUAAAGCACCUUAAGUUGGGAGGAAGGGCAGUAAGUUAAUACCUUGCUGUUUUGACGUUACCAACAGAAUAAGCACCGGCUAACUUCGUG